ACAGUCUGCCGGUCUGUCGCUCGCAGUAAUGCGGGAGGAAAGUCCGGGCAACACAGAGCACCAUACUUCCUAACGGGAAGCCGUCUGUGAAGGCAGAGUAGCGUAACAGAAAAUAACCGCCUUGCUUGCAGGGUAAGGGUGAAAAGGUGAGGUAAGAGCUCACCGGGUUCCGUAGUGAUAUGGAAUGCCGUACGCCUUAUGGGUUGUAAGGUCAUGUAUACCGGCGCAUGUAGGAUUGCUCGUCCGAUGCCGGGGGGUAGACCGCUAAAGCUUAUUGGCAACAAUAAGACGAGAUAAAUGGCAGGCACUUCUUAAAAAAUGUGAAGAACAGAACCCGGCUUACAGGCAGACUGUUUUC
rnacentral:RNase_P_RNA from 1 species